GGGAGAUAGCUCAACAGUUAGAGCACUGGCUGCUCUUCCAGAGGACCUGGGUUCAAUCCCCAGCACCCA
rnacentral:tRNA from 1 species